AUACCAGUGAUGCUGUUUCAGUUUAAGGAUCCAGGAGAGAUUGAUGGAAGAAAGUACUGCUUUAAACUUCAAGCACAAACCAGAGUAUACUCAUUUGAUGCUGAAACAGAAGCGGAACUAGAGUCAUGGCGGCAAGUAAUGACGAACUGUCAGCUAGAGUUAUUCGGAGGUGACACAAUCACACCCACCAAAGCAGACAAUAGAUCACUAUCCCCACCCACGACUGCUACCG